rnacentral:rRNA from 1 species
UACGUAGGGGGCUAGCGUUGUCCGGAAUUAUUGGGCGUAAAGAGCUCGUAGGCGGUCUGUCGCGUCUGCUGUGAAAACUCGGGGCUUAACCCCGGGCCUGCAGUGGGUACGGGCAGACUAGAGUGCGGUAGGGGAGACUGGAAUUCCUGGUGUAGCGGUGAAAUGCGCAGAUAUCAGGAGGAACACCGGUGGCGAAGGCGGGUCUCUGGGCCGUAACUGACGCUGAGGAGCGAAAGCAUGGGGAGCGAACAGG